GGCGUAAAGCGAGCGUAUGUGGCUUGAUAAGUCAGAUGUGAAAGCCCCGGGCUUAACCUGGGAACGGCAUCUGAUACUGUUAGGCUAGAGUAGGUGAGAGGAAGGUAGAAUUCCAGGUGUAGCGGUGAAAUGCGUAGAGAUCUGGAGGAAUACCGAUGGCGAAGGCAGCCUUCUGGCAUCAUACUGACACUGAGGUUCGAAAGCGUGGGUAGCAAACAGGAUUAGAUACCCUGGUAGUCCACGCCGUAAACGAUGUCUACUAGUCGUUGGGUCCCUUGAGGACUUAGUGCCGCAGCUAACGCAUUAAGCGCCCCGCCUGGGGAGUACGGCCGCAAGGCUAAAACUCAAAGGAAUUGACGGGGGCCCGCACAAGCGGCGGAGCAUGUGGAUUAAUUCGAUGCAACGCGAAGAACCUUACCUGGGCUUGACAUACACCAGAUCGCUGCAGAGAUGUAGCUUCCCUUGUGGCUGGUGUACAGGUGGUGCAUGGUUGUCGUCAGCUCGUGUCGUGAGAUGUUGGGUUAAGUCCCGCAACGAGCGCAACCCUUGUCUCAUGUUGCCAUCACGUGAUGGUGGGCACUCAUGAGAGACUGCCGGGGUUAACUCGGAGGAAGGUGGGGAUGACGUCAAAUCAUCAUGCCCCUUAUGUCCAGGGCUUCACACAUGCUACAAUGGUCGGUACAGCGAGUUGCCACACCGUGAGGUGGAGCUAAUCUCUCAAAGCCGGCCUCAGUUCGGAUUGGGGUCUGCAACUCGACCCCAUGAAGUCGGAGUCGCUAGUAAUC
rnacentral:rRNA from 1 species